rnacentral:rRNA from 1 species
GUCUCAAUUUUUAAAAGCUUUUGUCAAUAUAAUAUAGUAACACUUAUCCUAUUUAAACCAUUUUAUAAAUUAGUAACUUUGACUGAAUUUUCAUCAUACGCUAAGUACCGAAAGGGAACACUUACCUAUUAAUUUAGUAGAGAUAAAUCCUCGUACCUUUUGCAUCAUGGGAAAACAAGAAAUUACUUGAAAUCAAGACCCCCGAACUUUAAGUGAGCUAUUUUAUAGAAAAAUCAUAAUGUUGCAAAAUUAUUUGAUAACUGUAAAAUAGAUGCGAAAUACUUACCGCACUAAAAGAUAGCUGGUUGCUUAGAAAAGAUAUAAAAGUAUCGUCUUCAUAAUGAAGAAAAAAUGAUAAAAGGACAAGCUUUUAUCAUAGUAAUGGUAAUAGAGAGCUAAAAUUUUAACAGUAGGAAUAAAAUUUUCCAUCAUAAAUAUUGUUAUAAAAUAUAAACUAAUUAUUAGAGAAUUAUGUAUAUAUUACCUUAAAACUUUUAACUGAGCUAUGUAAAUUAACUAUUUUACUCUUACAAAAAUGAUGUUUUCAUGAGUAUUUUUAACAUAAUUAACCUUAUACCCAAAAAAGGAAUAUAUUAGAUUAAAGAAGAAAAUAUGUGUAAGGAACUCGGCAAAUAAACUACUCCGCCUGUUUAUCAAAAACAUGUCUCUUAGGAAUUAUUAAGAGUCAGGCCUGCCCAGUGAUUGCUUUUUAACGGCCGCGGUACCCUGACCGUGCAAAGGUAGCAUAAUCAUUUGCCUUUUAAUUGAAGGCUGGUAUGAACGGUUUGACGAGAGUAAAGCUGUCUCACACAUAAUUAAUAGAAAUUAAUUUAAAGGUGCAAAAGCCUUUAUAAAUCAAAAAGACGAGAAGACCCUGUUGAGCUUUAAUUUAAACCAAGUAUAAACCAUAUAUUAAUAUAAUUUAUCUACUUGAUAAAAAUUUUAAUUGGGGCGAUUAAGGAACACUCAAAAGCUUCCUGACUGUUACAAAAAUAUUCUAUAGAUUAAAUCGAUCCAGCAAUGCUGAUCAACAAAAUGAGUUACCACAGGGAUAACAGCAUAAUUCUUUUUGAGAGCUCAUAUCGAAAAAAGAGAUUGUGACCUCGAUGUUGGACUAGGGUAACCGGAAGGUGUAGCCGCUUUCCCGCUUGGUCUGUUCGACCAAUAAUUCCCUACAUGAUCUGAGUUCAGACCGGCGUAAGCCAGGUCAGUUUCUAUCUUUUGUUUAAAUUUAUUUAGGCUAGUACGAAAGGACCGCUUAAAAUAAACAUUUUACCACACAGUGAACAACAACUAAUCUCACAUUAAUGAGGUUGGCAGAGUAUAUGCAGU